rnacentral:rRNA from 1 species
CCCUUAGAUGUCCGGGGCCGCACGCGCGCUACACUGAAGGAAUCAGCGUGGCUUUCUCCCUGACCCGAAAGGGUUGGGAAACCCGUUGAAUCUCCUUCGUGAUAGGGAUUGGGGCUUGAAAUUGUUCCCCAUGAACGAGGAAUUCCCAGUAAGCGCGAGUCAUAAGCUCGCGUUGAUUACGUCCCUGCCCUUUGUACACACCGCCCGUCGCUACUACCGAUUGGAUGAUCCGGUGAGCUAUUCGGACCUUCGCUUCGUCGAUUUUCGGCUUUGUGAGGGAAAGUCUCGCGAACCUUAUCAUCUAGAGGAAGGAGAAGUCGUAACA